rnacentral:rRNA from 1 species
AUUGAACGCUGGCGGCAGGCCUAACACAUGCAAGUCGAACGAGUGGCGGACGGGUGAGUAAUGUCUGGGAAACUGCCCGAUGGAGGGGGAUAACUACUGGAAACGGUAGCUAAUACCGCGUACCCUCGGAUGUGCCCAGAUGGGAUUAGCUUGUAGGUGGGGUAACGGCUCACCUAGGCGACGAUCCCUAGCUGGUCUGAGAGGAUGACCAGCCACACUGGAACUGAGACACGGUCCAGACUCCUACGGGAGGCAGCAGUGGGGAAUCUUGCGCAAUGGGCGAAAGCCUGACGAAGCAACGCCGCGUGAGUGAAGAAGGUCUUCGGAUCGUAAAGCUCUUUUAGUAGGGAAGCGGUACCUAAUCAGAAAGCCCCGGCUAACUACGUGCCAGCAGCCGCGGUAAUAC